rnacentral:rRNA from 1 species
GAUGAACGCUAGCGGCAGGCUUAACGCAUGCAAGUCGAGGGGUAUAGUUCUUCGGAACUAGAGACCGGCGCACGGGUGCGUAACGCGUAUGCAAUCUACCCUUUGCAGAGGGAUAGCCCAGAGAAAUUUGGAUUAAUACCUCAUGGUAUGUGAGAAUGGCAUCAUUUUCACAUUAAAGUCACAACGGCAAAAGAUGAGCAUGCGUCCCAUUAGCUUGUUGGUAAGGUAACGGCUUACCAAGGCAACGAUGGGUAGGGGUCCUGAGAGGGAGAUCCCCCACACUGGUACUGAGACACGGACCAGACUCCUACGGGAGGCAGCAGUGAGGAAUAUUGGACAAUGGGCGCAAGCCUGAUCCAGCCAUGCCGCGUGCAGGAUGACGGUCCUAUGGAUUGUAAACUGCUUUUGUACAGGAAGAAACACUGGUUCGUGAACCAGCUUGACGGUACUGUAAGAAUAAGGAUCGGCUAACUCCGUGCCAGCCGCCGCCGUAAUAC